rnacentral:rRNA from 1 species
CCUACGGGGGGCUGCAGUGGGGAAUAUUGGACAAUGGGCGAAGGCCUGAUCCAGCCAUGCCGCGUGUGUGAAGAAGGCCUUCGGGUUGUAAAGCACUUUCAGUGGGGAAGAAAGCCUUGGGGCUAAUACCCUCGAGGAAGGACAUCACCCACAGAAGAAGCACCGGCUAACUCCGUGCCAGCAGCCGCGGUAAUACGGAGGGUGCGAGCGUUAAUCGGAAUUACUGGGCGUAAAGCGCGCGUAGGCGGUCUGAUAAGCCGGUUGUGAAAGCCCCGGGCUCAACCUGGGAACGGCAUCCGGAACUGUCAGGCUAGAGUGCAGGAGAGGAAGGUAGAAUUCCCGGUGUAGCAGUGAAAUGCGUAGAGAUCGGGAGGAAUACCAGUGGCGAAGGCGGCCUUCUGGACUGACACUGACGCUGAGGUGCGAAAGCGUGGGUAGCAAACAGGAUUAGAUACCCCAGUAGUC